rnacentral:rRNA from 1 species
UACAGAGGGUGCGAGCGUUGUCCGGAAUCACUGGGCGUAAAGCGCACGUAGGCGGGUCUUUAAGUCGGAGGUGAAAUCCUGGAGCUCAACUCCAGAACUGCCUUCGAUACUGAGGAUCUCGAGUCCGGGAGAGGUGAGUGGAACUGCGAGUGUAGAGGUGAAAUUCGUAGAUAUUCGCAAGAACACCAGUGGCGAAGGCGGCUCACUGGCCCGGUACUGACGCUGAGGUGCGGAAAGCGUGGGGAGCAAACAGG